CGCUGUCACUCCUACGGGAGGCAGCAUGGGGGAAUAUUGCACAAUGGGGGAAACCCUGAUGCAGCCAUGCCGCGUGUGUGAAGAAGGCCUUCGGGUUGUAAAGCACUUUCAGUAGGGAGGAAGGUAGUGUAGUUAACACCUGCACUAUUUGACGUUACCUACAGAAGAAGCACCGGCUAACUCCGUGCCAGCAGCCGCGGUAAUACGGAGGGUGCGAGCGUUAAUCGGAAUUACUGGGCGUAAAGCGCAUGCAGGCGGCCUGUUAAGUCAGAUGUGAAAGCCCGGGGCUUAACCUCGGAAUUGCAUUUGAAACUGGCAGGCUAGAGUCUUGUAGAGGGGGUAGAAUUUCAGGUGUAGCGGUGAAAAUGCGUAGAGAUCUGAAGGAAUACCAGUGGCGAAGGCGGCCCCCUGGACAAAGACUGACGCUCAGAUGCGAAAAGCGUGGGGAGCAAACAGGAUUAGAUACCCUGGUAG
rnacentral:rRNA from 1 species